UAUUACGACAUUCAGUUUGUCCAUAAAGAUUUUAUUACAACAUCCAUCAAGCAUUCUAAAACCAUGAGGGAGGAUGCACCAUUUCUCCUUAUUUUGAUACGUGGACACUUUUCAAUCACCUUGAUGCUUCAGUAGUAAUCUGACAAUGUCUUCGGUAGCACCGUAGCGGUCUGCACUUUCUUGACAAAAUUGAUUUUUAUUAACGGGGACAGUUGAUGAUGGCAUCGUACCACUUGAACAUUGUUAAAUCCUUACAGAUCUACAAAUAAUAAUUCUUCUACUGAUUUCCUGAUUGUACUUCUUUCCUACGAAUUCUAGAAGAUUGUUGCAAAUUGGUUGUGAAAGCUAAACUGCUAGGUUGCUCUCAUCCUAUAUUUGAACUACUAAAACUGAAUUUCCCUCAUUGGUUUAUACUGAUUUUUUAGUAAAUAGGAGCAAAUUCUAUAACUUGAAUGCAAAUAUCAAUGUUCAGCCAAUAAUCUAGAGUUUGCUGUAUCAUUUGAUUUUCAAAGUUAACUUUUUGACUUAUAUAGCAGAGAUUGGGACGACAACGAUGAUCAACCCAACUCUGCUUAAGUCUAGCCCUUAAAUCUGCUUGGAAAGAAUAUAUAUGUGCUCCCUUUUAUUAGUCAUUAAUUAUAUGGAGUUGUCAGCUGGUGCUCCUAAUAUAUUAAGAGAGGAGCAAUUUUAGUGCCCCCUUGUCAAAUGAGUAGAUUCGUAUUCAUGUUUACCUUUGCCAGUUUCCAGCUUCAGUAUAUUUGUUCCUACAGCCAAGUAAGAUGCUUUGUUUAUCCCUUAAAUAGUUUUGUAGAGAAUAUAUGUGUCAACUAUUAGUGCUGCUAAUUAAGUAAAUUUGUAUUUAUGCUUACCUUCGGCAGAUUCAGUAUAUUUGUUUCUGCAGCCAAGGAAGAUGAUUUGUUUUAGGAUGUUUUACCAUUCUUCUCGCUUAGUAGUUUAUUGUGGUUCUCUGUACUAUUAAGAGAAUUGUAGUGACGUGCUUAUGAUAUGAUAAGAUUAGUAUUUAUGUUUAUCUUUGGCAGAUCCAAUAUUUAUGUUGAUUUUUUCAUGUUUUACGGACAUGAGAGCUUCUUGGCCAAAGUAUUCAGUCUGGAGCGCAUGUUGCGUCAGGAUUUGAGCUGGGUUCGUGUGCAGCUAUAAGAGUAAAGUAGAACCAAUAUUUUAUUCGUGCUACUCUCGUUGACGUUAGCUUGGUGGUUUUCUAUGUCCCAUUUGGUGUUAGCUUUCUUAAUGCCCUAAUAUUUCCAUAGAUCAAAGCUAGGACUAAAAUUGUCGUUUGCCCUAUGUUACUGCCCUGCGCUAUUGCUUCUAGGAGAUUUGUAUCUUCUCUAAUGCCAUGUUUCUGCAGUUCCGUCUGCAUUUAAGCCCCUCCACUGAUCCAUGGUAAUCCUACAGUAAAUCUGCAUCGCUUCUUUUGCCUCUGCAACAUACAACUAUCCAAGUGAUCUUAAGAAGCUUUUUGGGUUUCUCUACUUAUAUUCAACAACUCUAAGAUAAUAAGAAGCUCGUUUAUAGAUCGGCGCCCAACCAAUUUAAGACAACAAAAAUAAAUGUUUGCAUAUAGCGUUAGACCAACUUCCAAAAAUAAAGAUUUCAAAAAAAGCAAAACUUUCCAUAGAGAUUAUAUGGUGGGGUAUGCAAGCCCAUGCUGUGCGAUGACUCAGGUUGGAUGUGAAGUAGAGAAGAGGGAGAUUCAAGGAGAGGCGUAUUUAGGAUCAAGUGGAGCAGAGAUUCUGACCUUGUCACUGUUUUCAAGAUCGUAGCUUGAGAAUGGGAUUAAAUAGUAGCUGUAAGUAACCAUUUUUUUCCGAUAGAUCUGUAGGAUGAUAUAUCGCUCUCUUUCUCUCUCUUUGGUAUGGUGAAUAAUUAAAGGUAAAUUUUGAUAAUUUUGUGCACAGUGUAUAUCCUUAGUUAGUCAUAUAUGGUUCAGAUGUGCACCAAGGUCAUUUCCCUUUCCCACUACAUAAUUGCCGUAGGUGUUCUGCUAAUUAUACCAAUAGCUGGAGACAAUAAUUGAGGGUUAGUAUACUUUGUAUGCCUUUUAUCAGGAAGAAAUCAUGGCAUAACUUGGACUUAAUAUGCAUACUGAAAAUCACUAUAUCAUCUCUUUUUACUGAUAUGUUCCAUAUAGUGUUCCUAGAUUCCGUGCUGCCUGCUCAAGAAAUUAGUCGCAUUCUUAUUCUGUGUUUUUAUUUUUGCAGCAUCAAGUUAUGCUCCCUUGAUAUCAAACCAAAGUACACAUGUGAAUGGUUUUCACCUACAAUUAAAGUAUUAUAGUUGCUUAUCGAAUGUACACAACACACCAUAAUGUUGUUGCUAGAUAUCACCUAAAGUUGUAGAUCAUGGUUUGUUGUUCAACCUCCAUGUAUAUGCUUGGAUUUUCCAUUAAGCUUGGUGAAGUAUAUUAUGUUAGUGGACGAAUAGAAUACCAUGGAUGUCUUUGCUAUUUUGGAGGCAAUUCUUUUUGUGGGUUCACCUGUUGUGAUUAUCUAUAUGAGACAUGCAUAGUAUUUUGGUAGAUCCAAUUGUUUCAGAAAAAGGAUAUUUUGGCAGUAUUUCUUCAGCUCCAUUGAAUAGAAUUGCCUUUGUGGAGCGCAUCUUGGAAGAGGUGGAGGCGUGAGGAUCGAGCCGGAUGGGGUGGCCGCUGUGGCGCGCGGGCGAAGGAGGAGCUCAAGGAGCACAUCCCAGAAGAGAGCGUCGGCGGUGGCACGCCAAUCGACUCCAUCGCAUCCUGGGCCUUGAGAUCUUCUCCGGCGGUGGGGAUAGGAACUGCUUGCAGCCAUCGUCAAGGAAGCUGCACAAUAUGAUGGUGGUGGAUCCCACAAGACCAGGGGAGUUUCCAUGGCAAGAAACAUGGUCAAUGACUCCAGGGUGACGUGGAGCUCCAGGCCAAGGUAACGAGCAAAUUCUUCUUCGAGGUUGAGAUCGGUGGGGAGCGCGUGGGCAAGGUGGUCAUCGGGCUCUUCGGCGAGGUCGUCCCAAAGACGGUUGACAACUUCCAUGCCCUGUGCACUGGAGAAAAAGGGUAUGUAUACAAGGGCUGCUUCUUCCACCAAAUCAUCAAAGGAUUUCAUGAUUCAGGGUGGGGAUUUUGCAGGAAAACAAUGUUUGAAGAGCAUUAGUGGCCUCUGUUCAACCUUUUCUCUUCAUCUAUUCGGCAGCUGUUGUUGGUGGACAACGGUGGCCUCAGGUGGUGCAUGGUGGGUCCUGUCAAGUCACCGAUACGAUUUCUCUCAUGCAGGUGACCCGCGGCUGGGCAACACCGUGGCCAUUGAGCCGAAGGUGGCUGAGCGCCAGAGCUCCCAGCUUAGGAAGACGACGCGACGGGAUGACGCAGCACCACGGCCUUCAGCACCCUCGCCGUUAGCAGCUCGCCCCUGUCAUAAGUCCUCUCGCGACCUGUUGGUUCUUCUGCUCCAGGAUGAGAUGGUCAUCUUGCUAGGUUUCAGAGCCCUGUGGGCCUCUUCGCCGCUCGUCCUCGUCACCCUCUCUGUACCAACAUCUCGCUUCCUUCUUGCUUCCAGUCAGGAUGGGGGCUUCUAUUUAGGAGGCGCUCAUGGUACCAGGUCUCCAUAGACCUGGCCAUUUCAGAAUGGGAACAAGUUCCUACUGCUAUUGCUGCCAUUGACUUCCACCUGUACCUAAGGGGCAAAACUGAAGAUCAAAUUAAGGCCGGUCAAUGAGGAUAAACCUUUUAUUCUUCGUGAUGUAAUAUUUUGAACUAUUUGUUUUGUGAUACUCACUCAUAUGUACUACAUGGAUUUAUUGAACCAUCAUUAGAAAAAUCCUCCUAGAAAGUUGUUAUGUGUUCUUAUUAUACUGUUUCCGUCAAGAAAGUUGAUACUCGACUAAUAUGUGACCAAAAUAACUCCAACAA